UGAAUCAGUGACUUGAAAAGUUGGAUUGAGAAACUCCUCCAGAAGGCAGCAAAAAAAGGAUAAAUAGAAAAUAAAUGCAGAUGUAAGUGGGAUGAGGGACAGAAGUAGUAUGUGCCAACAUUCAAGUAACAAAUGAGGUCAGAAGAAGAAAAAAUUUGAAGAUUGAGAGGGCCAUAGAGUGCCAAACAAGAAAGAAGAAAGUACCCACAUCUAGACACAUACUGAAAUUAGGAGUAUCAAGGAUAACGAGAAAAAUCUAAAGGUUUUUAAACAGUCAAUCCUUGUAUAAAGGAACAAGAAUCAUAUUGACCUUACUCUUCAGAAGAGCAAUGCUGGCUGUCAGGAAACAGUAUUUUUAAGGUACUGGACCUAAAAUUUUAUAUCCAUUUAAAUUGUUAUUCAAAUGUGAGGGUUUAAUAAAAGACAUUAAUAUUCAUCACUCAAAGAUCCGCAGUGUAAACAUUUUUGGAGAGAAUACUUAAAAAACAAGUGCAGGAAAUAUUUCAAGAACUAGGGGUGAGUGAUCAGAUACCUUGGUAAAGUGUGUACAGGCUGACCUCAGCGAUACUGCAGGUUUGGUUCCAGACCACUGCAAUAAGGCAAAUAUUGCAAUAAAGCAAGUCACGAAGUUUUUGGUUUCCACUUCUACCCAUAGGAGUUUAUAUCACUAGGUGUGAACAAGGUGGCAUGGUGAGUACGGGCACCAUUGACGAGCCUUAAAAGCAGUGGCUAGUGAAGCUCUCACCCUGUGUGCAUCUUUCUCUAUCCUGAGACAUUUAUUCUCUCUAGGCUUUCUGUUCCCUUCUGUUUCUCUGAGUGUGUUUUGGGUCUCCUAGUGACUCCGUAGAUUCAGCAUAACUUUCGGUGAGAGUAAAAGUAGGAACUUAAAAAAAAAAAAAAACUUGUCUAUGGAGUGGUUCUCAGCCUUUAGUGUGCAGAUAUUUGCUCAGCCUUCGGGCCAGUUGGAAUGAGGCAGUGGGUGUCUUUCCCACAGCUGUGUAGUGCUAAUAUUACUUACCUCAUCAAUAACUUCCAAUUAUUACUGUGAGGUUAUGGAGAGUUGCCCACUCUGUGCCUCUGUCUUAAAGAUAUUCACCUACUUGCUAAAAGUCUUCAAGAGUGAAGUGAUAAGAUUUAUUCACCUGCUGAAGACUUUAAAAAAUCAGAUAUAUGGUUCCACUUAUUGUUUAUAUUCUGGUUUACACAUUUAUUUUCUUGAAUAGGUAAUACAUUCACUGUUCAGUGAACCAUAUAAAAGUAUCCAUCUCACCUCUUCUCCAGUCACUGGGUUACCUUUCCUUGAGGCAACUAAUAUUAGGGGUUAUUCUAUGCAAGCUUCUGAAUUGUUCUUUUCAUAAAUGUAUGAUUUUUUUUUUUUUUUUGGCGGUACGCGGGCCUCUCACUGCCGUGGCCUCUCCCGCCGCGGAGCACAGGCUCCGGACGCGCAGGCCCAGCGGCCACAGCUCACGGGCCCAGCCGCUCCGCGGCACGUGGGAUCCUCCCGGACCGGGGCACGAACCCGUGUCCCCUGCAACGGCAGGCAGACUCCCAACCACUGCGCCACCAGGGAAGCCCUAAAUGUGUGAUUUUAAUGUUUUGGCUCUGGUAAAAUGCAUUAACGGUAUUAAUUACUUUGCAGCUGACUUUUAGGAUUAAAUGUCAAGGGCUUUCUUGGACAAUGUACCCUAUACUACACAGAUACACAUUAAUACAUUGUGUGUUUUCACCUCUAGUUAAUUCUGACAGUCAGUUUGUAUUUGAGGCUAGUGUGCUGGGGUAGUGGAAACUUAACCUCUUUACCUGUCUACCUUUCAUUAUCAUCCAUUUUUUAAAUAUGUGAAAAUAGAAUAGGCAGAUGAUACUUAUGAAGUGUCCAUAACUUUAUGCACUUUCUGUAUUUUAUAUGGAAAAGAGCAGGUUUAGAAAUGUGCCUUGGAGCUGUGUUCUAGGGACACCCUUGCUGUCAACUCCUCUAAGGUGGCAGUUAGAUUGUGUACUUGACAUGUGACUAAUGUAAGAUGCUACAAGGCUGGGAGUUAGGAGAUCUGGUCUCUGUCUGCAUUGGGCAAAUCAUUUGACCUCUCUGAAUUAAAACACUUUACGAAAAUUUGAUAUAGGUUUCUAAGGUUCUCACAUUCUCUACUGGAAGAGAACAUUUUCCUGAGCUGCCUGUUUCAGCCUAAUAGAAUAUUGCUAGAACACAUAACCUACAGACCAGGCACAGCCCCCUCUUGGUGGUCUAAAAAUGCUUACUUUCUUUUUGAGCUAUUUCUCCUUUCAGCCUGGCAUGAUUUGCAAGAGCACUUUGGGUUUGACUGUCACUGUUAUUAUUUGUUCCCAUUUGGUGAGGCCAGACUCAACCCAGGCAGCUGUUGAUGAAAUUGGACAUGACCCAUUGAUCUGUGACAUCAGUUCCCAGAGCAAUCAACUGACUGAAAGAAAUGCACCCAAAGUCAAAUCACCAUUAUCAUCCACAAACGAAAAAGGAAAAUUCUCAUUCGUUUCACCUUUCAUUUCCAAAUAUGAUAUACCAGGAGGGUCUCCAGCUUCAUGCCAAUUAG
ensembl:lncRNA